GGUUUAGAAUCUCCUACAAUCUUCUCCUGAUGUAGAGGAGAAGAGUUCAGAGUUGUGAAAUGGCAAGACAUGGACAAAGCUGAGAGAACUGAGAGAAGACCACUCAGAAGAAUCCCCCUCUCCGACUGCACCAACACAACUGAUGCCGCCGUCUCCGAAGGCGUCCGCACCGCCAAGUCAUCGACGGCAAAGUCUGUAGCCAGACCCACAAAGCCCCAUCCCUCCAAAAAGAGGAAGCCAAGCAGAAUAGCUCUAGCAGGUCCGAUACCGGAUCCAACGAUAUCCGCAAUGCCCCAAACCCUAGCUCCCUUCACGACGCCGUUUCGCCUCCGCCGCCCAAAUCUUCGACCCCUGUUCGCGCCUCCAAGUCUUCAUCGAAUUUGAGUUCUGGUAAAGUAGAUGAUGAUGUUUUUGAACCACUUACUGUCUACAAUCGAAGAAAUACUGCAGCAAAACGGAAGGGUAAAGAGAAGGCAGUGGCCGAGCCUUUGAGUUGUCCUCCUUUGGAAAGGAUGAGGAACGAACUUAAUAAGGAUGGAGAUACUCGUGUAUCCAAGUCAUACACAGCUCCUAAUCGAAAGAAACAGCGUGUUCCCAAAAAUGACUUGUCACAAGAUUUUAUUGAGCAGCAGAAAGCUUACUUUGCAGAGGUUGAUGCAUUUGAACUACCAGAAGAGGUUGUGUCUGACAGUGAGUUGGAGUAACUGGAAUCCUUACAAUAAGGCGGGUUGACCAAUCAUGGCACCAUUUAUACUCCUUGUUUUCUGUAUAGUUAAAAAUGAUCUAUUUGAUGUUGAAAAUGUCUAAUGUUUUUCCAAAAGGUCUCACUGUACACACAACUCUGGAAGUCCCAACUAGAAGUAGUCGGUAAACUAAUCAAUUUGAUCUUUUGUUAAGGUCCAAACGCAGCCAGACAAGAAAUGGUAGCUCAACACAAUAAAAUCCAAAUCGGUGUAUUCAUAUUCUGUAAUUUCUAUUACAUAUGCUACUGAUUUUUGUCAUCUUCUCCACAACUCGUGCCAGGGCAAUCUCAGUUGGUAAAUGCAGGUGGGGAUAGGGAGUUUCCAGAUUUGAUUCCAUGUAUCCCCCAAGAGGAAAGGUACCUUUGAAAGAAAAUUCCCCAUUUGUCAGAACUGACCAUGAUCCCUAAUCAAAUCAUGUUUGGGCUGGCUCAGCUGAAUUGGGUUUUUUUCAGUGCUUUUUCUUUCAUUAUUGAGAGCCCAGAACGAUGAUAUAUUCCCAGGUCUCUUUUCAAGCUCAGGGCUUUCCAUUCUGUGGUCCGUAUCGUAGCACUGAAGGACAUUUCCAGUAUCUUCUUAUGGUGCUUUGCGCCUAAUGGUCCAUGGCGGCCGAAAAGGUGCUUGCUUCAUGGAAUAAUCGUAUCACCUUUUCAUCUCAUCAGUGCAAUUCGGAAUUAUAAACCACAGCUUUCUAAAAUGGAUAAAAGGAGGAAAAAAAAAGAAGUCAGAAUAAAACUGAGGCCUCAACUUUGAUACCAGAAUGUGGCGUACAUCAGUGGGCUAGUGUUGUAACGAAGUGACUGGUAGAAACCUGGGACCUUAAGGCCUUCAGGACUUGGUAUAAAGGCCAUGAUGAUGAUGGGAUUUCAGGGAGAGGUCUGCAGCCGUGGAUGCAUUUUUGCCACAAGAUUCCAAAACUCUCAGGUUCACAUCAUCUGUUCUGCUUGCGAAGCGAACAGUGUUUUGCAUUUGGGGUGCUAAGAAGUUCAUAUGUGAACCUGUUCCUGAGAAGUUGUGGACAAGAUUUUGAGUUUUUUCGUGGUUGGAUCGAGUAAUUCAUCUUAUGUUUAAAGUCAUUUUCCUUCCCAGAAUCAGGGGUUCCAAACAGAUUGGCUUCUCACGUGGUUAAAGACCAUAUAUCUCCCUCUGAUUUUGACAGGGAGGGGGGGGGAGGCGUGUUUUAUGUUGUGGGGGGUGGUCAGUGGUGUGACACAUAAAUACAUUCAAAGAGACGUGAGAAACUCGCAGUGCUGAGUCUCUAUCUUGAUGGGCAAAGCUUGGACGGCAUUCCAACAUGCUUAGGCUGUGGAGACCUAUGGUUUAGAGUGGUGGCCCUGGCCUCAGUAGGGUUGCUGUUGCUGUUGCCAUUGCCCUCAGCGCCAUGCAACAGCAUACCGAGGCUUUCACACUUAAAGACAUACACCAUCUUCAAAGCAACAUUCUUGGAGAAUAUGUUGGUCGACGUUUCUAUUAACGCGGUCAUAAGCUGCUAAAACUGCAUAAACUUGCAACUUAGUAUCAUUAUCAUAUGGUUAUCAAUUGCAUAAUCAUAAGGGAUUUUCAUUAUUACUGUACUGUCCAGGGUAGGUAAGGGAAGACCGAAAGCUACAGCUGAACGAACACUUAUAUAUGGUGAUGAUUGGUCCAAAAAUUAUGGCAUGGAUCAAGAAGGAACUUUAUUAUUGCAGCCGCAGUAUGUAAGCAAUGAUCUAAGCCUUUGGUUGAAGACAAAGGGCGAGUAUCGCCCCACCCAGUGGGAAGUAUUGUUUCUUGCACCUCCUUGACAUAGGCCACCUUAGAUUCCCUCCCCUUGGAAGAUUCGGAAAAGAUCAGCAUCCAGCAUUUAAACCAACCGUGUUUCGUCCAUUCCUCAGCCCCUAGUCUUGAGCAAAGCAUCAGGCACGGGAGAUUGUGCUCCAUUAAGGCCUUGGUUGCAUUCAGCAAAAUGCUCUCUCUGAUUCGUUCUUUCUUUUGUGCUAGUUUGACGUCUGAUUAGGUUGUUUUAAGUCAACCUAAACGCAUUCCCCAUGGAAUCAAAUGCAUUAGGACUCUGCUUCCCUUUACCUUAACUUGUAUCCUGAUCAAUAUACCUUUCACUAUCAACUUCCCAAGUGGCAACGAUGAAAAAAUGAAUGAGAAAGACUGCAUAGAAUGCUAAUUUUGUAAGCAUUAGUCUCUCCACUGCAUCCUUUCUUUGUCUCAGGGCGUUUGUUUCCAUCAAUUGCGUCAACUGCUGCAGUAGCAUGUGCAGCUGUACCACCACAAGAUGUCUCUCUUAGCCGAUACCCCCUGCAAAUUCCUCUCCACACACAAAUUCCCCCAACACCCAGAGAAAUUAAAGUGUUGUCCACUAUGUAUGGAGGGUCAAUCCUAUGGGCAUUGUCGAUGUUGGUGUGCUUUGAGCUUAUAGAACGACCCACGUUGUAUUCUCUAGAGAAAAAGGUAGAAUUCACUGACUACUACUUAUCCUCGAGUAAAUCUUUGGAAUCAUCUUUGGAAUAUGAUCAUGGGAUGGUGGAAUCAUAAUGAUGAUGCAUGUGGGUCUGCUCUCCGACUUUGUGGUCAUAGAAAUGACAAUCCCCCGUCUUAUGUUCAAACUUUUCUGAAGUGGACCUGCUCCAAGACUAGAAAAUUAACUUGAUCUGAGCCACAAGGUUGAGAGAAAGGGAAAGGAAGAUUCAUGUGUAUAGUAUUGAGUUCAGGCCUUGAACCCGGCUCAGGUUUGCAUUGCACUAUUGACUUCUCCAUGGACCAGCUUGUUUCCAGAUCUUUUCAUUGUUGGGGAGAGUCGUUUUCAAGUGUAACAAAUGGAUAUUCCGGUUCAGUGGCCUUUCGGUAGUGAAAGUAACUAGGGAGGGGAUUAUCUGUCUUUAAGACAAAGCUGAGUUGGUGCCCUCCAUCUCUGCAAGUGGGCUCCUGCUAAUACUAGCUAGCUAUGCUAGGUCGGGCUUACUUUAUGUUCUCGGUUAGGGAAAAAUUGAGCAGGAUGCAUGGGUUGCGGCUAGUUUUGCAACUAGCCACACUGUACUAUUGCACUACUGCUGCAUGGGGUCAAAUGCUCAAUCAACGCGUGAGUUCAUGUUCUUGAAUAUGGAACUACUAA